AUCAGGUCAGUAAUCAUGUUAACAUGUCUCUGUUGUGAUCACAGGUCAGUUAAUGUGUUUACGUGUCUCUGUUGUGAUCACAGGUCAGUUAAUGUGUUAACAUGUCUCUGCUGUGAUCACAGGUCAGUUAAUGUGUUUACGUGUCUCUGUUGUGAUCACAGGUCAGUUAAUGUGUUUACAUGUCUCUGCUGUGAUCACAGGUCAGUUAACGUGUUUACGUGUCUGACAUGGUCACCGCUCUACUGAUAAUCAGACAGACUGACAGCUAAAUGGAAAUGGACUGAACCAACUCCUGUGGUCCAGUUCACAGCCUGCUCCUCUCCUCCUGUCACAUCAGUACAGCAAAACACACACACACACACACACACACACACACACACACACACACACACACACACACACACACACACACUUGUUCUUUCAUCCUCAAGGGGACUUUGCAUUAACAUUCCUUUCAUAAGCUCAUGUAUACCUUGGUCCUGAUGUUGUUAAACAUGUUCACACCAGAGGUAUGACAUCAGGACUGGGUGUGUUUGAUUUAUUGAACAUCUCAGAAUGAAUCUGAUUGGUUGACAGAGGUCUGACGUCAGGACUGGGUGUGUUUGAUUUAUUGAACAUCUCAGAAUGAAUCUGAUUGGUUGACAGACACCCAGCCCUGCAGGUCUACAGAAACCCCUCUGAACAGGUCCUGCCUGAAAGCAGGUGGUCUCMAGCAGCAGAAGACUCCAGUGAUGUCACUUCCUGACAGCUGAGAAGAGGAAACUGAGGAUCCAGUUCACACUGAAGGUGAAGUCAUGAUGGACCAGAACCUCAGAGUACUGGUUCCAGCAUGUCCAGCAUUUCACUUUAUGGUCAGAAACAUUUUAUCUUCAUUUGGACCGAACCUUUCCUGCCGAGCCUGUUUCCGUGUUGACCUUUGACCCUGCCGUGUUUCCACACCUGUG